GACAGAGGGUGCAAACGUUGUUCGGAAUUACUGGGCGUAAAGCGCGUGUAGGCUGCUUCGAAAGUCGGAUGUGAAAGCCCUGGGCUCAACCUAGGAAGUGCACUCGAAACUUCGAAGCUGGAGUCCUGGAGAGGAAGGCGGAAUUCUCGGUGUAGAGGUGAAAUUCGUAGAUAUCGGGAGGAACACCGGUGGCGAAGGCGGCGACCUGGGUAGAUACUGACGCUGAGGUGCGAAAGCGUGGGGAGCAAACAGG
rnacentral:rRNA from 1 species